UACGUAGGUGACAAGCGUUGUCCGGAUUUACUGGGCGUAAAGAGCGCGCAGGCGGUCGAUCAAGUCGAGUGUGAAAGCCCCCGGCUCAACUGGGGAGGGUCAUUCGAUACUGAUCGACUCGAAGGCAGGAGAGGGUAGUGGAAUUCCCGGUGUAGUGGUGAAAUGCGUAGAUAUCGGGAGGAACACCAGUGGCGAAGGCGGCUCACUGGCCCGGUACUGACGCUGAGGUGCGAAAGCGUGGGGAGCAAACAGG
rnacentral:rRNA from 1 species